AUUGAACGCUAGCGGCAGGCCUAACACAUGCAAGUCGAGCGGUAACAUAGGGAGCUUGCUUCCUGAUGACGAGCGGCGGACGGGUGAGUAACGCGUGGGAAUCUGCCCCAAGGUUUGGGAUAGCCCGGAGAAAUCCGGAUUAAUACCGAAUAACACUUACGGGUCAAAGUGGGCCACUAUUUAUAAGCUCACGCCUUGGGAUGAGCCCGCGUAGGAUUAGCUAGUUGGUGAGGUAAAGGCUCACCAAGGCUACGAUCCUUAGCUGGUCUGAGAGGAUGAUCAGCCACACUGGAACUGAGACACGGUCCAG
rnacentral:rRNA from 1 species